rnacentral:rRNA from 1 species
ACGCUCGACACCUACGGGGCAGCAGUGGGGAAUAUUGCACAAUGGGGGAAACCCUGAUGCAGCGACGCCGCGUGAGCGAAGAAGUAUUUCGGUAUGUAAAGCUCUAUCAGCAGGGAAGAAAAUGACGGUACCUGACUAAGAAGCCCCGGCUAACUACGUGCCGGCAGCCGCGGUAAUCUGAGCGGGCUGGCAAGGC